CCCUGGGUGGUGCAAAGGGUUAGCAUACUCAGUUGCUAACUGAAAGGUUGGAGGUUUGAGUCCAUCCAGAGGCA
rnacentral:tRNA from 1 species